rnacentral:rRNA from 1 species
GAUGAACGCUGGCGGCGUGCCUAAUACAUGCCAGUCGAGCGAACGGACGAGAAGCUUGCUUCUCUGAUGUUAGCGGCGGACGGGUGAGUAACACGUGGAUAACCUACCUAUAAGACUGGGAUAACUUCGGGAAACCGGAGCUAAUACCGGAUAAUAUUUUGAACCGCAUGGUUCAAAAGUGAAAGACGGUCUUGCUGUCACUUAUAGAUGGAUCCGCGCUGCAUUAGCUAGUUGGUAAGGUAACGGCUUACCAAGGCAACGAUGCAUAGCCGACCUGAGAGGGUGAUCGGCCACACUGGAACUGAGACACGGUCCAGACUCCUACGGGAGGCAGCAGUAGGGAAUCUUCCGCAAUGGGCGAAAGCCUGACGGAGCAACGCCGCGUGAGUGAUGAAGGUCUUCGGAUCGUAAAACCCUGUUAUUAGGGAAGAACAUAUGUGUAAGUAACUGUGCACAUCUUGACGGUACCUAAUCAGAAAGCCACGGCUAACUACGUG